GAUGGAUUGGUGCCUUCGGGAACUGUGAGACAGGUGCUGCAUGGCUGUCGUCAGCUCGUGUUGUGAAAUGUUGGGUUAAGUCCCGCAACGAGCGCAACCCUUAUCCUUUGUUGCCAGCGGUCCGGCCGGGAACUCAAAGGAGACUGCCAGUGAUAAACUGGAGGAAGGUGGGAUGACGUCAAGUCAUCAUGGCCCUUACGACCAGGGCUACACACGUGCUACAAUGGCAUAUACAAAGAGAAGCGACCUCGCGAGAGCAAGCGGACCUCAUAAAGUAUGUCGUAGUCCGGAUUGGAGUCUGCAACUCGACUCC
rnacentral:rRNA from 1 species